GAGCGUGGAAAGUUUUGUUUUUGUUUUCUUUGAAACGGGUAAGGGAAAGAAAAGUUUCAGUCAGGAUGGCGUUAACAAAACCCUUUCCCAUACAUGUCUCACGAACUACCCAUGCCACGGAAGGGUUAAUAGCGUUCCUACAAUGUGGGAAUAACACAAACCCGAAGAAGGCUAGCAGGAAGAUCCUAUUCUUUUGAAAAGAUGGGGCAUUUUGAAAAAGCUCAUUUAGGAAUGAAAAUGGGCAAGUCUUGCGAUUAGCUUUCAAAACUUUCCUCACGUCAUCCUCCUUAACUCUAAGGAAAUCGGAUAAAGUCGAUGCAUGCUCAGUCCCUA
rnacentral:lncRNA from 1 species